rnacentral:rRNA from 1 species
UACGUAGGGUGCAAGCGUAAUCGGAAUUACUGGGCGUAAAGCGUGCGCAGGCGGUUCGCUAAGACAGAUGUGAAAUCCCCGGGCUAACCUGGGAACUGCAUUUGUGACUGGCGGGCUAGAGUAUGGCAGAGGGGGGUAGAAUUCCACGUGUAGCAGUGAAAUGCGUAGAGAUGUGGAGGAACACCGAUGGCGAAGGCAGCCCCCUGGGUCAAGAUUGACGCUCAUGCACGAAAGCGUGGGGAGCAAACAGG